GUGCUUGUGGUGUAGUGGUUAUCACAUCCGCCUGACACGCGGAAGGUUCUAGGUUCGAUCCCUGGCAGGCACA
rnacentral:tRNA from 1 species